CAGUCCUACCUGUCCGUGAAUGGCUACCUGUUAACUGAGGCCCCCUCCGUCACCACGGCGUCUCUGUUCUGGAAUCUCACAGAUGAACGGGAUUCUUCCACCGUCAUUGUCCUGCCAGACUCGCACCAGAGUCUGUCCAGUUUUGUUCCAUCCCCAGGAGACAGCCUGGAUCUGGGCCCCGUGACUGUCAGAUGUUCCACAGAGGUCCCCGUCAACACUGACAUCACCCUCCUGAACAUCCACAGACAGGUGGAGACUGCUGAACCAACACCUGUACGUGUGUACAUCUUAAACAUCUUACCUGAGGAACCCCUUUCAACUUUCUUA